rnacentral:rRNA from 1 species
GUGCCAGCAGCUGCGGUAAUACGGAGGGUGCAAGCGUUAAUCGGAAUUACUGGGCGUAAAGCGCACGCAGGCGGUCUGUCAAGUCGGAUGUGAAAUCCCCGGGCUCAACCUGGGAACUGCAUUCGAAACUGGCAGGCUAGAGUCUUGUAGAGGGGGUAGAAUUCCAGGUGUAGCGGUGAAAUGCGUAGAGAUCUGGAGGAAUACCGGUGGCGAAGGCGGCCCCCUGGACAAAGACUGACGCUCAGGUGCGAAAGCGUGGGAGCAAACAGGAUUAGGAUACCCGUGGUAAGUCCACGCCGUAACGAUGUCGAUUUGGAGUUGUGCCCUUGAGCGUGGC